GACGAACGCUGGCGGCGUGCCUAAUACAUGCAAGUUGAGCGCUGAAGGUUGGUACUUGUACCAACUGGAUGAGCAGCGAACGGGUGAGUAACGCGUGGGGAAUCUGCCUUUGAGCGGGGGACAACAUUUGGAAACGAAUGCUAAUACCGCAUAAAAACUUUAAACACAAGUUUUAAGUUUUAAAGAUGCAAUUGCAUCACUCAUAGAUGAUCCCGCGUUGUAUUAGCUAGUUGGUGAGGUAAAGGCUCACCAAGGCGAUGAUACAUAGCCGACCUGAGAGGGUGAUCGGCCACAGUGGGACUGAGACACGGCCCAAACGCCUACGGGAGGCAGCAGUAGGGAAUCUUCGGCAAUGGACGAAAGUCUGACCGAGCAACGCCGCGUGAGUGAAGAAGGUUUUCGGAUCGUAAAACUCUGUUGGUAGAGAAGAACGUUGGUGAGAGUGGAAAGCUCAUCAAGUGACGGUAACUACCCAGAAAGGGACGGCUAACUACGUG
rnacentral:rRNA from 1 species